CCUACGGGAGGCAGCAGUGGGGGAUAUUGCACAAUGGGGGGAACCCUGAUGCAGCGACGCCGCGUGGGUGAAGAAGCGCCUCGGCGCGUAAAGCCCUGUCAGCAGGGAAGAAAAUGACGGUACCUGAAGAAGAAGCCCCGGCUAACUACGUGCCAGCAGCCGCGGUAAUACGUAGGGGGCAAGCGUUAUCCGGAUUUACUGGGUGUAAAGGGAGCGUAGACGGCAGCGCAAGUCUGGAGUGAAAUGCCGGGGCCCAACCCCGGAACUGCUUUGGAAACUGUGCAGCUGGAGUGCAGGAGAGGUAAGCGGAAUUCCUAGUGUAGCGGUGAAAUGCGUAGAUAUUAGGAGGAACACCAGUGGCGAAGGCGGCUUACUGGACUGUAACUGACGUUGAGGCUCGAAAGCGUGGGGAGCGAACAGGAUUAGAUACCCGGGUAGUC
rnacentral:rRNA from 1 species